GACGAACGCUGGCGGCGUGCUUAACACAUGCAAGUCGAACGGAAAGGCCCUGCUUUUGUGGGGUGCUCGAGUGGCGAACGGGUGAGUAACACGUGAGUAACCUGCCCUUGACUUUGGGAUAACUUCAGGAAACUGGGGCUAAUACCGGAUAGGAGCUCCUGCUGCAUGGUGGGGGUUGGAAAGUUUCGGCGGUUGGGGAUGGACUCGCGGCUUAUCAGCUGGUUGGUGGGGUAGUGGCUUACCAAGGCUUUGACGGGUAGCCGGCCUGAGAGGGUGACCGGCCACAUUGGGACUGAGAUACGGCCCAGACUCCUACGGGAGGCAGCAGUGGGGAAUAUUGCACAAUGGGCGGAAGCCUGAUGCAGCAACGCCGCGUGCGGGAUGACGGCCUUCGGGUUGUAAACCGCAUUCGCCUGUGACGAAGCGUGAGUGACGGUAAUGGGUAAAGAAGCACCGGCUAACUACGUG
rnacentral:rRNA from 1 species